CUCCAAUUUAAAAAGAAAAAAACAAACAAGCAAACAUCCCCCUUGUCCCCUGCAAAUAUUCUCCAGAAACACACAAUCUAAAAAAUGCAUGUUUUCACUGCAGUGCCAGGAAAAUAGCUACCGGUACUGGUAACUACCUUUGGAUGAGAGCUACAUAUACAUGAUCUCUUGUGAUGUUCACAACCACACUGUGAGGCAGGAGCCGCGGUAUCCCCUUGCUACAGAGGAGAGGACAGGACUGACCCCUGAGCUCAUGUCCCUGAUCCCCUAUAGUAUUUUGUUUGUGAACUUGAUUCUCUUGGCUGGGUGUCAUGGCUGCCUCCAGAGAGGAACUUUCACAGAGCACUGGCUCUUAACCGAGAGCAGUUUUGCCCCCUUGGGAACAUUUGGCAAUGCCUGGAGAUAUUUUUGAUUGUCACGACUUGCAGCUGGCCAGGGAUGCUACGAAACAUCCUACACUUCAAUGAUCUGGCUGAACUUGUCAAUAGCAUUGAGGUGGAGACACCCUCCUGUAGAUGCUUCUAUUUUGUGACAUUAAGAUUUAAAGUGGUUUGCUUUGUUGUGAAUAAUUAGAAAGGGAGAAAACUGGAGGAUGAAAGAGCUCCCUGAAAUCAUCACUCACAGCAACAUCGGCCUGGGUCCUUUUGCACAAAGAUGCUUCGGGAAACAAACCAAACCCGCAACACUUUAUCCUUAAAACCUGGACAAGAGGGGGCACCUGGGUGGCUCAGUUGGUUGAGUGUCCAACUCUUGAUUUCUGCUCAGGACAUGAUCUCAGGUUCCAUCCACAUAGGGAUCUGUGCCGAGCAUGGAGCCUGCUUAUGGUUUUUUCUCUCUCCCUCUGCUCCUCUCCCCUGCUCACUCCCUCUCUCUAAAAAUCAAAACAAAACAAAAGAAAAGAAACAACAACAACAACAAGAAAACCAGAAAAUAAACCGGGACAAGAUAUGCACACCUAAGAGACUCAGUGUCAUGGAAGACUGGUGGUUGCCUUUCCAUUAUCCUUGCUUGUAUCAUUCUCUCCUCCCUCUUUGUAACAGCUGCAUCCAGAUCUCCAGGGGAUUCUGAGUGAGCCAACAUCAGCUGACAUCCCUGACAUCAGCGGACAGCCCUGGGCGGAGCUCGUCACUGAGGAGUGGGCGGGUGACCUAAGCAAAAGGAAUGUCUGGAUAUUUUCUGUGAAUACUGGGACAGAAGCUGUCCUCCUAAGGGUGGGUGGGAGUAAGGGUCAGAGAUCAAAAACACUUUCCUUUCUACUGGGAGGGAAGCCCCAGCACUGGUGACACCUUCCAGCUGGCCAGCACCUGGCAGGCAGGCUUGUGCUCUAGUUUCUCUGUAUUCUGUGCAGUACAUACAGAUAUAUGUGGUCUGAACAAGCCACAGGGUCACAGGAACAGAGCCGUGUGACUGGGGGUUCUGCUUUGCGUGCCUCUGGGAGAAAAGGACAGUUGUGGGGACAUAGACUAUGUGAUGCUACACUUGCAAGUCCCUCUCUGUCAGCCAAGGCACCUACACGUUCGGGUGACAUUCCUGUCCACAAAUGGCUCCAGCCAGCUCAGCCUGUCUGCCCCUGUCUUCCUUUUUGCUGCUUCCUUGUGAUCGUUUUUGAGUGCUUCAUCCAGCUCUCCCACUUCUUAGCUAGAGAACCGCUGGCAAGUUUCUCCCUUCUGUGCCCCCCUUCCUCACCAGUAUUGGCCUGAAGGUGACCGGGCUUAACAGGGCCAUUCCGUGCCCUGUGGGUGCUCACUGAGUGUGAACUGUUAUGAAGAGCAACAGGACAGGUGAAUGCAGAGGAAGAAGGGAAACAGGCAGUUUUACCAGCUACUUACUAUGCGGUGUUUCAGAGUUGAGGGUCUCACGCACACAGUCAUUCAUUUGACUUCUGCUGUCCAAUGUGUGGCCACUGGUCACAGGUAGCUAUGAGCACCCGAAACUUGGCUGAUACAAACUGACGUGAGCUGCCAGUGUAAAACACACAGGGGAUUUGGGAGACUUAGUAUGAAAAAGGGAAUGUACAAUAUUUUAUUAAUAUUUCUUUUUAUAUUGAUUACCUCUUGAACUAAUAUUUUGGAUAUAUUUGGCUUAAAAAAUAUAUUAUUAAAAUGAAUUUCAGUUGUUUCAUUUUUUAAGGUGGCUACUAGAAAAUUUUAAAUUACAUCUGUGUAAUUUUAUUUCUCCUAUUUUAUUUCUUUCAGACAGUGCUGGUCUUGGUGGAACCUUCAGUGGGGUAACUUCUGGGUGUUGAAUGGAGCUUCCAGCCCACAAAACGUCUCUUAUAUGGGACAGUGAUGGCUGAGAUCCCAUCAUAGGAGCCUCAAUCCUUAAAGGCCUUGAGCCCUGGGAAAAAUUUUAAUCUCCCUGGGGGGUUUUAAGCUAUCAGUCAUUUGCACCCUAGUAUGAAUGAGCACCAAGGUCUUUUUUUUUUUUUUUUUUUUUUGGUGGAGAGCAGGUUUUGAUACCAGGAAGUAGGGUUGGAGGGAAGCAGAGGGGAGCAAAGACAAUGAGAACAGUGAGCAGGUAAGAGUGGGCGAAGGGUUCCCACCCAAGUGGGUGAAGAGGGUGCUGAGCGGGGCAAUGGUGAAAUAGAUCUGCUGAGCGGGGCAAUGGUGAAACAUUGCCAUCACAGCUUUGUGUCUUCCUUUUGUACUUCUUACAGCACUAUCAUGGUGGUCUGCAUGUCACAUGGGGAGUCCACUAUAACUGUACAGACUGGGUGACCAAUAAUAAGAUUUGAAAGAAGGAUUUCCUUACACAGGACAAUUUCUCACCUGGCAUGAUUUGACCUUGAGUCUGCAAACCAUACCCCCCAUUUCUUUCUUGGUGGCCAGAGGUCCUGAGGGGUAGAAAUUCCCACCCGAGAAGCCUGCCUGCUUGCAUCCUGUUCUCCCUCUAUCCUGGACAUGUCAGAUGCGUGUCAGAAAGCCAUCCCUGCGUGAAAUCUUCUGAAACAAAGGGGUCAAUGAAUCCAGCAGGGGAAAGCUUGCCUGAGGAAAAUGUUCACAUUCUCUGAGCAUGCUGAGUUAGCAAGUCCGUUCAGCCAAUUCCGAACGUCUAUUGAGCACUUUUUGUAUACCAGAGCUCCACUGAGUGUGAGACUGGAUACCAGCAAUGGAUAGAAGACAGAGAGAAAGCCAGGUGGACUCUGAUUCCUGACGCAGGGAAGUGAAGAAGACCACUGCUGUGGUUGGCCAGUUUUCCAGUUUGGGGAUUUCCUUGAAAUGUACCAAUAGGACCAUGCCUCCCUGGUAGCAUCCCAAGAUGAUGGAAAAGCCCUAUUUUCUCCCUUCCUUAGCCUCACCUUCAAAUCUGUGGGCUCUGCUGUGCCCACUUAUUCAAUUUCAGCGCCACAUGAAGGUCCCCACCACAGGGCAGGGGCCAGACUUCUACCUGCUCUGUUCCCCAAGCUGUACACUCUGGUGAAGGGCCGUGUCCACCCAUAGGGGGUGCUUUUUCUCUCAUUCUUGCAGAGGCACCCCACACGUUUGUGGCUGUGAAUUUGGUGCACUGAAGUUCCUUGCCAGACCAGCCUAGCACUGGACUAAAGACACUGGACAAGGAUAUAAAGAAGCAAAUGACAUCCUUCUUGUGUCACCUGAUGCAGGAAACCCUAAGUGGAGACCCAAAGACAUUCCUGGACUUUUUCAAAAGCCAUGUCAAGAACACCUGUGCACACCCCACCCCCCACUUUCAUCUUUCUGACUUCUGGCUCUAUUCUUUCUUUGGGGGAAACUAAUAAAUGCCAGAGUGUUUAAUAUUUUAUGAUAAAAA